rnacentral:rRNA from 1 species
UACGUAGGGUGCAAGCGUUGUCCGGAAUUAUUGGGCGUAAAGAGCUCGUAGGCGGCUUGUCACGUCGACUGUGAAAACCCGGGGCUCAACCCCGGACUUGCGGUGGGUACGGGCAGACUAGAGUGUGGUAGGGGAGACUGGAAUUCCUGGUGUAGCGGUGAAAUGCGCAGAUAUCAGGAGGAACACCGGUGGCGAAGGCGGAUCUCUGGGCCAUUACUGACGCUGAGGAGCGAAAGCGUGGGGAGCGAACAGG